rnacentral:tRNA from 1 species
UAUAUUUUAAUGUAAGAAGCAUAAGAAUUUUUGAAGUUUUUAGAAAUAGUUUAAUUCUAUUAAAUAUAA